CUACGAGCCGCUGCAGUGGGGAAUCUUGGACAAUGGGCGCAAGCCUGAUCCAGCCAUGCCGCGUGAGUGAAGAAGGCCUUAGGGUCGUAAAGCUCUUUCGCCAGAGAUGAUAAUGACAGUAUCUGGUAAAGAAACCCCGGCUAACUCCGUGCCAGCAGCCGCGGUAAUACGGAGGGGGUUAGCGUUGUUCGGAAUUACUGGGCGUAAAGCGCGCGUAGGCGGAUUAGUCAGUCAGAGGUGAAAUCCCAGGGCUCAACCCUGGAACUGCCUUUGAUACUGCUAGUCUUGAGUUCGAGAGAGGUGAGUGGAAUUCCGAGUGUAGAGGUGAAAUUCGUAGAUAUUCGGAGGAACACCAGUGGCGAAGGCGGCUCACUGGCUCGAUACUGACGCUGAGGUGCGAAAGUGUGGGGAGCAAACAGGAUUAGAUACCCUAGUAGUC
rnacentral:rRNA from 1 species